UACGUAGGGUGCAAGCGUUGUCCGGAAUUAUUGGGCGUAAAGGGCGCGUAGGCGGCCACUGCAAGUCGGUUGUGAAAUCUCCGGGCUUAACCCGGAAAGGUCAAUCGAUACUGCAGGGCUAGAGUGCAGAAGGGGCAACUGGAAUUCUCGGUGUAGCGGUGAAAUGCGUAGAUAUCGAGAGGAACACCGGUGGCGAAGGCGGGAUCCUGGGCCAGUACUGACGCUGAGGAGCGAAAGCGUGGGGAGCAAACAGG
rnacentral:rRNA from 1 species